rnacentral:tRNA from 1 species
AAUGUUAUAGUUUAAAUAAAAUUUUAAAUUGCAAAUUUAAAGAUAAGRCUUUCUUUAACAUUU